UUAUAAAACUUUGCUAAUGUUGAUUAGGAUUAAAAAUUUCAGAUAAGAAAAAUAUUUUUUUGUUAGGGAGAGAUAAGUAGAAAAUUAUGAUUCGAAAUUUAUUUUAUGGCUAAAGUUAAUAGUAUCGUGAGAGAAUAGUGAAAUAUUUGAAAAAUUAAUAGUAUAAAAGUAAAUAUAAAUUUUUGUACCUUGUGUAUUAGGGAGAACUAAAAUUAUGAAGAUAUAUUUUUUUAUCCCGAAAAAGGAAUAGCUAAUUUUAUAAAAAGGUUUUUGUAGCACAAAGAUCUUGAAUAUAAAUUUAGAGGUGAAAUGCCAUACGAGUCUUUUGAUAUCUGGUUUUUGAAGAAAUGAAUUGAAUUCAGUUUUAAUGGAAAGGUUACAUUAGAAAAAAAAAUAGGAGGGUCGAGCUUCUUGUUUAAUUAGGGGUUUAGUAUAGAAAAGUAUUGUUAUUAAUUGAACUAGGCUUAGAAGUAGUCAUGUAUAUAAAGUGUUUUAACUAAUCUUUAAGUUAUAUUUAUUUAUAUUUUUCUUACAGGAGUAUUUAAAAAUAUUAAGCAUUUUUGUAUUUGUAGAUAAAAUGGUUUUAUUAGUAGAAGUAUUUUAUAAAAUUGAAAAGUAAAAUAUUAAAUAAAAUAUAAAAAAAUUUUGGUUUAAUUUAAGGAAUUCGGCAAAUAAAGCUUCUGCCUGUUUAUCAAAAACAUGUCUGUAUGGGGAUUUAUAAAGUCUGGCCUGCCCACUGGGAUAAAACUAAAGGGCCGCGGUAUUCUAACCGUGCGAAGGUAGCAUAGUCAUUAGUCUUUUAAUUGGGGGCUUGUAUGAAGGGUUGAACAAGAGGCAAACUGUCUCAAAAAUAAGGUUUGAAAUUAACUUUUAAGUGAAAAGGCUUAAAUAUCUUAGAGGGACGAUAAGACCCUAUAAAGCUUGAUAAUUUUGUAUAUAAAUAAAUAAGUUGUUAGUAUUAUACUGUCUACAUAUAAAAUUAUUUCGUUGGGGCGACGAUAAUAUAAUCUGUAACUGUUUAGGUUUUAACUCAAAUAUAUUUGUGUUUAAUGAUCCAUUAAUUGUUGAUUAAAAAUUUAAGUUACUUUAGGGAUAACAGCGUUAUUUAUUUUGAGAGUUCAUAUCGAUAAAGAAGUUUGCGACCUCGAUGUUGAAUUAAAAUUUUUCCGUGGUGCAGUAGUUACGGAUAUAGGUCUGUUCGACCUUUAAAAUUUUACAUGAUUUGAGUUCAAACCGGCGUGAGCCAGGUUGGUUUCUAUCUUUUAAGGAAAAUGAAAUUAUUUUAGUACGAAAGGAUUGGGUAGUUAAAAUAAUUUUUAGUUGUAGAUUAAUUGUGUUACUUUGGCAGAGUGUUAUGUAUUAGAUUUAGGAUCUAAU
rnacentral:rRNA from 1 species